ensembl:lncRNA
AAAAAAAAAAAAAGAAAAAAGUUUUGGCGGUUAAAUCAAUCCGGAUCCUCUAGACUGCAGUCAUUUUUCAUUUUCAAGAGGAAUCAUUUCAGCUUCAGUAGGCAACUAUAAAGAGGGCAGGACCUGGUCAGACCUCCAGUCAGAUGCAGAAGUGUCUGGACAAAGACUACUAAGCCAUGCUGAGGGAGGUGUUGACUAUAUUAGAGAUGGUGCUGGACCCACAAACCACUGAGAUUGCUUCAACUACAGGAGUUCCAGGUGCAGCCUUUGGUUAUUGAGGAAGGUUUAUUGCCCCUGCAAGACCUUCAUCAACAGUGUAGCCUGGAGCAAAGGAUGCAACAGAGCCCAGAUUACAAGCAAAAACUGGACACACUCAUACUCAAAGUACAACAUUAAACACCACUUUGAUAUGAGGGAACAGUUAUGACCUAAUCUUUGGUAGAAGAGGAAAACAUGGAAAACACACAGGGCAAGAUAACUGCAGGAGUAGUGAGAAGCACUGACCCAGUUGACGAGGUAAACUGGUUGGUGCUUAUUGACGGGGCGGAUGUGUGUGACUGCACCUGGCGCAUAUUGAAGAGGGUGAUUGCCAACUCCCUGGCAAAGACCCUCAAUUGGAAGGGAGUCAAUGGAAAGACUUUUGACUCCCUUCCAAUGGCCACUUUGGCCACUCUCCAACUCGGAGAGGUUGUGAUUGCUGCAGUUCAAAGAAACCUCUUCACGGCUAAUGCUUCUGAGAUGGAGGUCGAGGGGACCAUGAAGAGAUGGCUCCAGCUGGCAUCAGAUUGAGAGUGUGGGCGCAUGAGUAGACUUUUGCAAAAGGAAGGUGUUUAGUGUUUUAACGGUGGUGUGUUGUUUUUUU